rnacentral:rRNA from 1 species
AUCGAUGAAGAACGCAGCGAAAUGCGAUAAGUAAUGUGAAUUGCAGAAUUCAGUGAAUCAUCGAAUCUUUGAACGCACCUUGCGCUCCUUGGUAUUCCGAGGAGCACGCCUGUUCGAGUGUCAUGAAGCUCUCAAACAAGUCUUUUCUUUGCAAAAAGAAGAGGCGGGUUUGGAUUUGAACUCUGCCGUGUAACAAACGGCUGGUUCGAAAUGUAUUAGCUGAUCCUAGCAAAGCUUGGUUCUACUCGGCGUGAUAAUUAUCUAACGUUGAGGACAUUCUUCACAGAAUGGCCAAAAUUUGUUUCAUGGAUUGCUUCUAAUCGUCUUCACAGACAAACUAUUCAUCAAUCUGACCUCGAAUCAGGCGGGACUACCCGCUGAACUUAAGCAUAUCAAUAAGCGGAGGAAAAGAAACUAACAAGGAUUCCCCUAGUAACGGCGAGUGAAGCGGGAUGAGCUCAAAUUUAAAAUCUGGUGUCCUUCGGGCAUCCGAGUUGUAGUCUAGAGAAGCAUUUUCCGUGUCGGACCAUGUACAAGUCUCCUGGAACGGAGCGUCAUAGAGGGUGAGAAUCCCGUUCUUGACAUGGACCCCCGAUGCUAUGUGAUGUGCUCUCAAAGAGUCGAGUUGUUUGGGAUUGCAGCUCAAAAUGGGAGGUAAAUUCCUUCUAAAGCUAAAUAUUGGCGAGAGACCGAUAGCGAACAAGUACCGUGAGGGAAAGAUGAAAAGCACUUUGGAAAGAGAGUUAAACAGUACGUGAAAUUGUUAAAAGGGAAACGAUUGAAGUCAGUCGCGUCUACUUGGACUCAGCCUUACCUCGGUUUGGUGCAUUUCCUUGUAGACGGGCCAGCGUCAAUGUUAUCCGCUGGAAAAAGGUGUAGGGAAUGUGGCUCUUUCGGGAGUGUUAUAGCCCUAUGUCAUAUGCAGUGGCCGAUAUUGAGUGUAACAGCACGCUUUUGUGGUGCUUGUGCUGGCGUAAUGGCUUUAAACGACCCGUCUUGAAACACGG